GAGCAUAUAAUGUUUCCGUUGGAAAACAUACUAGCAAAUUAUUUCGUAUUGCAUUUAUUAUAUGGGAUCUCUCGUAUUCCAAUGGUAAUCUUGUUGUUGACACGUUAUUUAAAUACAUUCAAAAAUUCCCAUCUGCACUUCUUCCCUUAUUAUAAAUAGGUUCUGCAAGAGGCCUAUUGACUGUUAUGUACUCUUUAUCCCCCAUCUUUUCUGACACU